rnacentral:rRNA from 1 species
GACGAACGCUGGCGGCGUGCCUAAUACAUGCAAGUAGAACGCUGAAGGAGGAGAUUGCUUCUCUGGAUGAGUUGCGAACGGGUGAGUAACGCGUAGGUAACCUGCCUGGUAGCGGGGGAUAACUAUUGGAAACGAUAGCUAAUACCGCAUAACAGUAGAUAUCGCAUGAUAUCUACUUGAAAGGUGCAAUUGCAUCACUACCAGGUGGACCUGCGUUGUAUUAGCUAGUUGGUGAGGUAACGGCUCACCAAGGCGACGAUACAUAGCCGACCGGAGAGGGUGAGCGGCCACACUGGGACUGAGACAGGGCCCAGACCCCGACGGGAGGCAGCAGUAGGGGAAAUUCAGCAAUGGACGGAAGUGUGACCGAGCAACGCCGCGUGAGUGAAGAAGGAUUUCGGAUCGUAAAGCGCUGUUGUAAGAGAAGAACGAGUGUGCGAGUGGAAAGUUCACACUGUGACGGUAUCUUACCAGAAAGGGACGGCUAACUACGUG